rnacentral:lncRNA from 1 species
GGGCAACAUAUUCUUCUAAUGUUUGUUUCUUCUUGGAAGUUUUUCUUGGUGUUUUUUAAUGUCUUAGUGUUUUAUUAGCAUUUCCUCUUGCCAAUGUUUUGCUGUGGAGUGCCGCCUGGGCUUACUAUGAAUGUUUUGGUAUGAGGCAAAGAGAAUUCAUAUUUCUGGAGGAUUUAUUCCCUUGGUAUGUGUUUUGGGCAAGACCCUGUCUCCAUGAAUAUGCCAAAGGCAAAAAUUCUCAUGGAUUCCUUUGAGGAGCAGGACUGAGCCUUGCUUUUGCACCCGUGGAGGAUUGCUGUGCCCCACAUGAGUCCUUGAGGGAGAGAGGGCUGGCUUGGACAAGAAUGGGUGGGACAGGGCUUGUGCGUGCCAUGUCCAGAGGACAGGGCUCUGCUGAGACACACAACAGACCUGACCUGCUCACAGCACUGAAAGGCUCAGCAUCACAGGCUUAACUCCCCACUUUUUGUGUAGUAAAUCAUCAAAACUUCUCAGAGCUCAUGGUCAGUAAUGCUGGCCUUGGCAGCAUUGAAUAAGUCUUGAGAAACAGUGAUGCUGAAUGAAAACAAUCAUGAGACUGAAAUAUGUACCUGCUUCUUUACAGCUGCUGCCUGGUUUGGGAGCCUAUGACAGCCUUCAGAUGUUAUCUCCAAGUUUUCCUUAGCAUGCAGGAAGGCUAGAAAACACUUUUUGUUAAUAAAACAUUACACAUUUUGCCUGAUCUCAAGACCUGGAGCGUGAGAAAUGGAUUGGCUCUUGAAACAGCUGGGGUAAAGCAUGAAGGGCUGCCAUGUUCUGAGGUCAGUUUGGCUUGGAGCUAAAGGACAAAUCCAUGGUGUACAUCAGCCCUGCCUUUCGAUGUGGUGCCAGUGUGUUGGGCUGCCAUUCAGGAGAACCGAGGUGGAAAUGGAAGCCAAACUACACGUGGCUCUUGGGUGUCUCUCUGUAUGAUAAACCAGGGGGGUGCACUGUGCCAUUUCUCAACAAUGCAUGCAUUUUCUUUCCAUUGAAAUGCUAUGGUUGGUGUUACAGUUUUCAAAUUAAAAACUGAAUGUGUUUGAAUAUUUUCCCACACAAACAUUUCUUUGACUUGCAAAAUUCUUUUCUGUUAAAAGUGUCAGAGUGGAUUUUUAACCCAUUCUAAGAAAUUUUCUGCUGUCAAAAAUGACUAAUAUCCUAAACUCUCUUAAGAGUUAUUUGUCCCCAUUUUCCUUGCUGAAAAACGAUGAUUUCUGGAAUUGUUUUUGUUUUGUUUUGUUUUCUUUUUUCUCCCUUUAGUAUUCUUCUAGCAUCUCCAUAGUUUUUUCUCACCCAUGUAUAGCACUAAACUUUGGAAAGAGUGAUUUUUCUGAACAUGGAAAGUAAAAGAAAUGGCACAGUAGUUCAGCUGGGAUUAAGAAGAGAUUUAAGCCAAGCCUGAUCUAUAGGGAGAACUUUUCUGGAACCAAAAUGCUCCUACAGGUUUUUUUUUUUGAGCUUAGUAUUUUUUGGAAGUUCAAUGUACACUUCUACAAGGACUUCCAAAUGUAUCUUGUUCACUAAUAAAUUCCAAAUAAUUAUUGCUGGCUUUUGGGCU